rnacentral:rRNA from 1 species
AGGGCGUACGGUGGAUGCCUAGGCACUUGGAACUGAAGAAGGACGCAACAAACGGCGAAACGCGACGGGGAGUGGUACGUACACAAAGAUCCGUCGAUAUCCGAAUGGGGAAACCCGGCAGCAGUAAUGAGCUGUCACCCAUGAGUGAAUACAUAGCUCAUGAGGGAGGUACCCGGAGAACUGAAACAUCUAAGUAUCCGGAGGAAAAGAAAAUAAGAAUGAUUCCGUAAGUAGCGGCGAGCGAACGCGGAGGAGCCCAAACCAGAUCUUGAUCUGGGGUUGUAGGACCACGAAAUGGCAAGAGCAUGGCUAAGAGAACGGCAUUGAAAGGCCGACCGGAGAGGGUGCAAGUCCCGUAACUGAAAGUCUAGCGAAGCCUAGUGGUAUCCUGAGUACGGCGAGACACGAGAAAUCUUGUCGGAAGCAGGCGGGACCAUCCGUCAAGGCUAAAUAUACCCAAGUGACCGAUAGUGAACCAGUACCGUGAGGGAAAGGUGAAAAGAACCGCGGGAGCGGAGUGAAAUAGAACCUGAAACCGUAUGCUUACAAGAAGUCAGAGCCCGUUAAAGGGUGAUGGCGUGCCUUUUGUAGAAUGAACCGGCGAGUUACGUUAUCGUGCGAGGUUAAGUAGAAGAUACGGAGCCGAAGCGAAAGCGAGUCUUAAUAGGGCGACAGUACGAUGAUGUAGACCCGAAACCGUGUGAUCUAGCCAUGACCAGGUUGAAGUUCAGGUGAAACUGAAUGGAGGACCGAACCGACCCCCGUUGAAAAGUUGGCGGAUGAGUUGUGGCUAGGGGAGAAAUUCCAAUCGAACACGGAUAUAGCUGGUUCUCCCCGAAAUAGCUUUAGGGCUAGCGUCGAGGCAGAGUCGCAUGGAGGUAGAGCACUGAAUGUACGAUGGCCCCAUCCCGGGGUACUGAGUAUAAUCAAACUCCGAAUGCCAUGCAGACGUACUCGGCAGUCAGACUGUGGGUGAUAAGGUCCAUGGUCAAAAGGGAAACAGCCCAGACCGCCAGUUAAGGUCCCAAAAUGUAUGCUAAGUGGAAAAGGAUGUGGGGAUGCACAGACAACUAGGAGGUUGGCUCAGAAGCAGCCAUCCUUCAAAGAGUGCGUAACAGCUCACUAGUCGAGUGACCCUGCGCCGAAAAUGUACCGGGGCUAAGCAUACUACCGAAGCUGCGGAUUCAACUUUAGAGUUGAGUGGUAGGGGAGCGUUGCAUGCACGUAGAAGCCGUACCGUAAGGAGCGGUGGAGAGCAUGGAAGAGAGAAUGCCGGUGUGAGUAGCGAGAUGUAGGUGAGAAUCCUACACACCGAUAGCCCAAGGAUUCCAGGGGAAGGUUCGUCCGCCCUGGGUAAGUCGGGACCUAACGCGAGGCCGAAAGGCGUAGUGGAUGGAAAACAGGCAGAUAUUCCUGUACCCGCGAUGGAAAUGAAGGAAUGACGGAGAAGGCUAGUGUGAGCCACUGAACGGAUUGUGGUCAAAGCAUAUAGCAGGCUGACAGUGAAAUGCGUCAGCGGGAUGUAAGAUGUGACAGGUAAGGGAACGUCCUUGGACAAGUACUGAAGCACAUGAUGCCAGCUUCCAAGAAAAGUUUCUAGUGAUAAUUCCAUAGCGGCCCGUACCAAAACCGACACAGGUGGGCAAGGAGAGAAUCCUGAGGUGAGCGAGAGAACUGUUGCCAAGGAACUCGGCAAAAUGACUCCGUAAGUUAGCGAUAAGGAGUGCUCUUGUAAAAGAGAGCCGCAGUGAAGAGGCCCAAGCGACUGUUUAACUAAAACACAGCUCUCUGCAAAGUCGCAAGACGAAGUAUAGGGGGUGACGCCUGCCCGGUGCUGGAAGGUUAAGAGGAUUUGUCAUCCGCAAGGAGAAGCAAUGAAUUGAAGCCCCAGUGAACGGCGGCCGUAACUAUAACGGUCCUAAGGUAGCGAAAUUCCUUGUCAGGUAAGUUCUGACCCGCACGAAAGGCGUAACGAUUUGGGCGCUGUCUCGGCAGCAGACUCGGUGAAAUCUUAGUACCUGUGAAAAUGCAGGUUACCCGCAACUAGACGGAAAGACCCCAUGGAGCUUUACUGUAGCCUGAUAUUGAAUUUUGAUCAAAGAUGUACAGGAUAGGUGGGAGGCGAAGAGACGUGUACGCCAGUAUACGAGGAGCCGCUGUUGGGAUACCACUCUUGUUUGAUUGAAGUUCUAACCUGCACCCAUGAACUGGGUGAGGGACCGUGUCAGGUGGGCAGUUUGACUGGGGCGGUCGCCUCCUAAAGAGUAACGGAGGCGCCCAAAGGUUCCCUCAGAGCGGACGGAAAUCGCUCGA